UUGCUUUCCUUCAAGCUUAAGAGGAAAUAAUUCCCCAUCCGCCUAAGUAUUGCGAUGACCAUUAACAAGGCGCAGGGCCAGACCAUCCCAAAUGUUGGAAUUUAUCUUCCCGAGCCGGUGUUCUCCCAUGGUCAGCUGUAUGUUGCCUUGUCAAGGGGUGUAUCAAGGCGCACGAUGCGAAUUUUGGCCAAGCCGAACAAACAGAUUGAUAAAUCAGGAAAAAGCACCGAGAAUAUUGUCUAUAGAGAUGUUUUAUAG
rnacentral:rRNA from 1 species